GUACAAAGUCCUCUUGAGUUUUGUAAUGGACUAAUUAUUUUUUAUGUACACGCUAUGACCAAACCCAAAAAAAUUCUUGAGAACUUUUUGAAACCUUUUUUCUCAAUCUCCAAUAAAGGGAAAAAUGAGGAGGACUUAGAGAAAAUUGCAGCACAAGAACAGAAGCAAUUCCCUUUUGAAGUUCUUGUUUCUGCUACCAAAGAUUUUCACCCAGAUAACAAGCUUGGUGAAGGUGGAUUUGGGCCUGUAUUCAAGGGGAAAUUAAGUGAUGGGAGGCAAAUAGCUGUAAAGAAGCUUUCACAUAGUUCAAGGCAAGGGAUGAAGGAAUUCAAGAAUGAAGCUAAGUUGUUGGCUCGUGUACAACACAGAAAUGUGGUGAAUUUGUUAGGGUACUGUGUACAUGGAGUAGAGAAGUUGCUUGUGUAUGAGUAUGUUGCUAAUGAGAGCCUUGACAAAAUCCUCUUCAAAUCUGCUAACAGAGAUGCACUCAGCUGGAAGCAACGGCAUGACAUAAUUGUUGGCAUUGCUAGAGGGUUGCUAUACCUUCAUGAAGGAUCACAUACUUGCAUUAUCCACCGUGACAUAAAAGCUAGCAACAUCCUACUUGAUGACAAAUGGGUGCCCAAGAUUGCUGAUUUCGGAAUGGCUAGACUCUAUCCUGAAGAUAAAACACAUGUUAACACCCGUGUAGCUGGUACUAAGUAUGAUUCUAUCAAACCCUAUAAACUGUGUUUAGUGACGACUAUGUAGAAAUUUCGUUGAAAAAUAUAUUGCCCAAGUACACUCGUUCGAUAUUGCUAACAAAUCUCUUUGAUAAUUUAACUUGGAAGCCAGUGGCUAUAUGGCGCCCGAGUACGUUAUGUAUGGACAUCUAUCAGUGAAGGCUGAUGUAUUCAGUUUCGGAGUUGUAAUUCUGGAGCUCAUAAGUGGCCAGAAGAAUUCAACCUUUAACAGAGAUCCUGAUUCUCGAAGCCUUCUUGAAUGGGCGUACAGGCUGUACAAGAAGGGUCGGAGCUGGGAGAUUAUGGACCCUGCACUGGCACAAUCGGCUAUCCCCGAUGAGAUAGCAAUGUACAUACAGAUUGGCUUAUUAUGCAUUCAAUCGGAUCCACCACUACGUCCAACCAUACAACAGGUUGUGGUGAUGCUAUCGAAGAAUCCUGGAUCUCUUGAUAGAGAACCAACUAGACCUGGAUAUCCCGGAUCAAGAAUUAGAUCUCACAGACCAGGUGGUGGUACGUCACACACAGGUGGAACCUCGGGUGCAUCCAAUCCUUCCACAUUCAGCUCAUCGUCUAGUAGCAACACUGUUACUGCAACUGCAAGUUCAUCCACACCUACAAGACGGAGAUCGGACCCUCAUGGUAAACGUCCUGUGAGAGAUUAGGCGCGGCGUUGUUGAAGAUAUUUUCUUAAUUCUUUUUGUGUAUACAUUCAAUUUUUGUAGCAUGUAAAUUGGUUACAAAUUGAGUAUCAAAGAGUAAUGAUGAAUCUUAGUGACAGUUAACAUGUAAAAGAAGUGUAUGUAGUUACUCUCAGGAAAUAAAACUACCUGGCAUAAUACAUAAAUGCGUCUUUUAAUUUGACUUUGUUUUAC
rnacentral:misc_RNA from 1 species